rnacentral:rRNA from 1 species
GCAGCAGCCGCGGUAACACCGGCAGCUCUAGUGGUAACAAUUUUAUUGGGCCUAAAGCGUCCGUAGCCGGUUUAAUAAGUCUCUGGUGAAAUCCUGCAGCUUAACUGUGGGAAUUGCUGGAGAUACUAUUAGACUUGAGACCGGGAGAGGUUAGAGGUACUCCCAGGGUAGAGGUGAAAUUCUGUAAUCCUGGGAGGACCGCCUGUUGCGAAGGCGUCUAACUGGAACGGUUCUGACGGUGAGGGACGAAAGUUAGGGGCGCGAACCGGAUUAGAUACCCGGGUAGUCCUAACUGUAAACGAUGCGGACUUGGUGUUGGGGUGGCUUUGAGCUGCUUCAGUGCCGAAGGGAAGCUGUUAAGUCCGCCGCCUGGGAAGUACGGUCGCAAGACUGAAACUUAAGGAAUUGGCGGGGGAGCACCACAACGCGUGGAGCCUGCCGGUUUAAUUGGAUUCAACGCCGGACAUCUCACCAGAGGCGACAGCUGUAUGAUAGCCAGGUUGAUGACUUUGCUUGACUAGCUGAGAGGAGGUGCAUGG